rnacentral:lncRNA from 1 species
GAAAUCAACAUGAGAAUCAACGGUCCAUCCUUGCUGCUGUUUUGUGCGAUGUUAAUGGUGUUGCUGCUAAAAUACAUGAGUUAAGAUCGAACCCUUAUCGAUCCUCAACAAUCAUCCAUACACCAAUCGCUUUAUUGGUGUAUCAUCAUUUUCAUCAUUCCCGGCAACAACAACAACAACAACGACGACGUCCACCACACCGACGACGAUAGCCCAGCUAGUAGAACGGAAACAGUAGUCUAGCUCAGCAUUUCAUCACCUGACAACAUAGGUAGCAUUUACGUGGACAACCGAACGAGACCACUAAACGAAGCCACAGCCCUUUGGACCCGCGGCAUCAGCAGUUCUUCCACAGCAACAGCAUAAGCAUUGCAAUAGGUAGUGAGGUUUGAUCGUAAUCAAUAAUUGAAUAAAGCUACAGUUCGUUUUAGGCAGUAGAUCGAGUAAGUUCUUUUUUUAAAACUUAGUCUGGGUGACACCCUUCUUCACUGGCGCAGUCGGCAGUUCUAGCGUGGAGUAGUUAAAGUGUAGUGAAAAGUGUUCUUAUCCGAAAUCACCGGCGGCUUACCGAGGAGCAAAGGAGGAAACACCUAAACUACAGAUUCUAGUGCACCGGCGGUUCACCGAGACACCAAAAUCAUCUUUAACGAAGCUUCACACCUGCUAGAAGACAUCGAACCAUCCGAGGGAAUAUCGGACAAUUUAACCAUCCGAGGGAACAUCGGAUAAAACCAUGACGUUUAUUUGGAAUAUCCUGAUAACAACCACAUUCCUUACUCAGCUAUCCCAACCACAAUCCAUCCACGUCAUUAAUCUCAAACAAAACCCCGGUCUUUUAACCAUAGAAACUGGCAACAGUUUUAUAAAAAUAGGCAAUCACAGAUUGUUUCAUAUCCUAGAACUGGAUAAUUACGAACCUAUUUUUAGAAAAUUGCUUGCUAAUAUCCAAGGAAUACGGACAUUCUCAAAUUUUACUGAUAUGUUUGAAAUCUUAGAAUCGAAAUAUGAAACCGUUCACAGUUUAUUUCGAAAAACAAAUUUCGAAAAAUAUUUUUGAACUGCAGAUCAAGAACAAAAGACUUAUUAACGAAAACAACGAACAGCUUAAAAUUAAUCUACAACUCCAAAAUAGAAUCAAUUCCAUUAUCAACCGUUUAAUUCAACAACAGAGUGAAAUAACUAAAAACAUUAUAUAAGCUAGAUUUGAAAACGAAACCAACAAAAACUUUAAAUUAUUUAGAGAAAUUUUGAAAAUCAAUUACAACUUAGACAACCUUAAAUCACAUUUAGAAGACAUUUUUGAAUCAAUUCAGUUAGCAAGAACUAACAUUAUUCCCAAACAAAUACUUUCAAUUGAAGAGUUAGGAUUUGUUUCAGAUAUAUUAGAAGAACAAAACAUUAGGACGAACAGUUUAGAUCAAAUUUAUGAAUAUUUAGAAUUGUCAGCAUUUUAUAACCAUUCAAAACUAAUAUUUGUUGUGUCAAUUCCAAAAAUAGAAAAAGCUAUGUAUACACAUUUUUUCCUAGAGCCUCUUCCAGUAGUAGAUAAAAUUUUAAAACUUCCUGCUAAUGCUGCUUUGCAAAGCGACAACAGAACAUAUUUCAUCAAGAAGGAUUGCCUGCGAAUCGAAAGGACAAGGCUGUGCAAUCUAAGCAGCCUAGAGGACAUAACCGGCGACCUAUGCUACUCAAACCUACUAAGAGGACUAUCGGGAAACUGUACUUUCGUAAAAUGCUAUCAAUCAACGGAGAUCAAAGCGAUCAUGGACAAUUACCUUGUCGCUAAAAACAUCAAUAACACAGAAAUCGAAUCGAAUUGUGGUCUUUCAAAACGAAACUUAUCUGGAACGUAUUUGAUAGAGUUCCACAAUUGCUCUGUCAUAAUAAAUGGCACCAAGUUCUCAAAUGUCGAAGCAAACAAAUCAGAACCGACAUUUGUUAUGCCAUUAGAUGGUUUACAUAUCAAUGAACAGACCCUGGAAAUCCAGAAUAAUAUGGAAGAAAUUCACAUCCAUAAUAGACAUCGGAUUGAAGCAUUAACUAAGGAACACAAAAUUCAGACAUACACAUCUCUAAGUAUGUCGACCGUAUGUUUUCUUCUAAGUAUCGUUGCAGGUCUUUCAUGGAUUUCGUGAAAACGCAGACAGAUAUCUCUUCAUAUUGGAGCAUCCAUGGAGUCUAAAAGCAAACCAGAAAUUAAACCUGAGACCAGUACAAUUCGGGACGAAUCGUCUCCAAAAGGGGGAGUAGUUAAGAUCGAACCCUUAUCGAUCUUCAACAAUCAUCCAUACACCAAUCGUUUUAUUGGUGUAUCAUCAUUUUCAUCAUUCCCGGCAACAACAACAACAAAGACGACGUCCACCACACCGACGACGAUAGCCCAGCUAGUAGAACGGAAACAGUAGUCUAGCAUCAGCAUUUCAUCACCUGACAACAUAGGUAGCAUUUACGUGGACAACC